UACAGAGGUCUCAAGCGUUGUUCGGAUUCAUUGGGCGUAAAGGGUGCGUAGGCGGCGGAGUAAGUUGGGUGUGAAAUCCCGGGGCUCAACCUCGGAAUUGCAUUCAAUACUGCUUCGCUCGAGUACUGGAGAGGAGGCUGGAAUUUACGGUGUAGCAGUGAAAUGCGUAGAUAUCGUAAGGAAGGCCGGUGGCGAAAGCGAGCCUCUGGACAGUUACUGACGCUGAUGCACGAAGGCCAGGGGAGCAAACGGG
rnacentral:rRNA from 1 species